rnacentral:tRNA from 1 species
UCCUUGGUGGCUCAGUGGUAAAGAAUCUGCCUGCCAAUGCAGGAGACACAGGUUAGACUCCUGGUCUGGGAA